CCCCGGUACACUGGCGGAAGCAGCGCAAGAGCCCAGCACUGGACCCAGGGGCUUAUGGGGAAAGGUCCUCUCCACGAAGUGAAACUAGACGCUACGGCACUGUCUGUGAACAUGCAGGAAGCUCCGGGACUCAGUACCCGUAGAACAAACGAAUGAGUAGCAUGUGGCUCCCGACACUCGAAGUCACGUGACCACAACAGAUCCGGAAACCACUGCACUCCAAGGCAGCAGCAGCACUACGGGGACUGAGAACUAAGAAAUCCAGAUACUAGAGGCACAUUGCGCAGUGAGCUGAAAUGACAGCACUAGCAUCUGAUCAAGCCCAAAUGGAGAAAAUUGAAUAGCUCAGUUGGGCGCCAUCUACUGUGUUGGAAGAAGAAAAAUGGGCAAGUGUAAGGAACUGAGCGACUUUGGCAAUAUUGUGAUGGCUAAAUGACUGGUUCAGAGCAAUUCCAAAUGGCAGGUCUUCUGUAAUAUUAUAAGUAAAGUGUCUUCAAUGGUUACAUAUACCAGAAACAUAUUUUUGUGGUAAGCGAAACAAAACUCCAUCCUCAGACAUAAUCAAUAUGUGAUAUGAAUUCCUCUUAACAUUUAAUCCCCUUGCACUCAUGAGAAGGGUACUCUUAGAUCCCCCAGACCACAAACCAAGACAAGCACCCCCUCCCCACCUACCACCAGCAGCAGCUUCUAGUAUUUAGGCAUGAACUCUCCAAGCUCUAGGUAUUUCCCGCAAGAUAAAAAAAAAAAAGAAGAAAAAAAAAAAAAAGAGAAGAACAACGAAUAAAAAACUUGAGAUAAAAUGUUUUACUAAUUGCAGAAUACUAAUCUGUGGCACUGCCCCAUUGCAUGUUUUUUUUCAUGUAUUUUUCAACUAUGCAUGUACAGACAAACAGAAAUGAAAUACAAAAUAAUCAAAACACAAAACGGGACUAGAGCAUAUAAUAAAAUAUGUAAAUAAAACACCUUUCAGACACAAGUCUAAAACGCGCGUUUCUGCUCGUUAACAUGCAUCACCCCAGGUCUGGUUUA